AGCUAUGCUGAUCACUCAAGCAUUGGUGAGACAUAAAUUGGAGUUCAUACCCUGUGGGGAAAGUAACAACCUCCAAUGUUAAAAAUAAACAAGAAGAUGCUGAUAAUAGUAAUGGACUUAUGCAAUAAAGCAGCCAUGCAGAUCACUCAAGGAUUGGUGAGACAUAAAUUGGACUUCAUACCAUGUGGGGAAAGUAAUAACCUCCAAUGUUAAAAAUAAACAAGAAAAUGCUGAUAAUAGUAAUGGACUUAUGCAAUAAAAUAGCUAUGCUGAUCACUCAAGCAUUGGUGAGACAUAAAUUGGAGUUCAUACCCUGUGGGGAAAGUAACAACCUCCAAUGUUAAAAAUAAACAAGAAGAUGCUGAUAAUAGUAAUGGAC